AUGACUGACUGGGCACUGGGGGCUGAGAGAAGCUGGGAGACGGGACAUAAGAGGCCCAGCUGGGGGCAUGGCCUGGAGAAAACUGGUUCUGAGAGUGAGGAAGAGCGUGUUCCGGGCAAGGCGGCAAAGGCCCGCUGCCCCGAGGAGAGGCCAGUGAGCGGGAGCGAGCGCGAGAGUGGAGGGAGUAGGCAUCAGCCAUGGGUGACUCAGGAGCAGCCACGUGAGACCAUCUCAGCCACCCCUCGCCUGCCCUCCCCUCCCUGCAGGGCAGAGCUGAGAAUGCCCCAGCCUCCUGCACCUUUACGCCCUGGGCCUCCUCUCUCUCUCUCACACCCACAAUGCCUGGACAGGACAACACGGGAGGUGCAGCGUGCGGCAAGGAUGUUCCCCUCCCUGCCCUGGGCACUUCUCCUUUGUGAACACGGCCCCUGCCACCCCCAUCUGCAGGUUACCAGGGCAGUUUCCACUCCAUCCAGAGUUGCUUCCCCUAUGGUGACUGCUACCGGAUGGCCGAACCAGCAGCCGGCGGGGACGGACUGGUCGGGGAGACCCAUGGUUUCAACCCCCUGCGGCCCAAUGGCUACCACAGCCUUAGCACGCCCUUGCCUGCCACAGGAUAUGAGGCCCUGGCUGAGGCCUCAUGCCCCACAGCGCUGCCACAGCAGCCAUCUGAACCUGUGGUGUCCAGCGGCCCCGAGGACUGUGGCUUCUUCCCCAAUGGAGCCUUUGACCACUGCCUGGGCCACAUCCCCUCCAUCUACACAGACACCUGAAGGAGCCCCCACAUGCGCCUGCCCGUCCAGCACUGCAGAUGCCACCUUGCCACCUGCUGCCGCUCCCACCCUCCGUGCCAGCGGGAGUGCCAGGCCAAGACCCAGGGAAGCCAGUGCUGCCACACCACCCAGCACUGCCAGGGAGCCACCAUCCGAGCCCGCGCUGGGCACACAGAGGUGCCUGCCAGGAUCCGUGGCCCUGUAACAUUCCCUCAAUUGCGUCUUCCCGUUCCUCCCCACAGUGGUUUUGAAAUCACAGACCUCGUGUAUAUAAAAUAUGCAGAACUUGUUUUCCAUUCCCCUGCCAGUUUUAUAUUUUUGGUUUUACAAGAAAAACAUUAAAAACUGGAAAGGAGAUGUGAGGGCCUGAUUCUGCGUUGUGAUUCAGCCCAGAGGCUGGGACCAGGAGAGCCUUAGAGGAGGGUGACAGAGCCGGGUGUUCAGGGCUAGGGAGGCCACAUGGAAACCAGCUCAGGCCCUGGGUUCUGACCACAGGGAUGGGAACCAGUGGCACGUGGACCCCCAACAUGCGCUAUGGUCCUUACAGACACCAGCGUUAGUCCCAGGACUGUGCAGUGAGGUAGGCCUAUCCCCAUGGACAGGUGGGCAAACUGAGGCUGGGAGGGUGCAGCAACGGGCUUCAGAUCCCGGGCCCCACAGUCAGACUACAGUUGGGACCCAGCUCCAUCUGACCUGGGCCCCUGCCUGCUACAGCGACUCCUCUGCAGGUGGGAGAACGAGCUUCAAAUCUAG
rnacentral:lncRNA from 1 species